AUUGAACGCUGGCGGCAGGCCUAACACAUGCAAGUCGAACGAGUGGCGGACGGGUGAGUAAUGUCUGGGAAACUGCCCGAUGGAGGGGGAUAACUACGGGAAACGGUAGCUAAUACCGCAUACCAUCGGAUGUGCCCAGAUGGGAUUAGCUAGUAGGUGGGGUAACGGCUCACCUAGGCGACGAUCCCUAGAUGGUCUGAGAGGAUGACCAGCCACACUGGAACUGAGACACGGUCCAGACUCCUACGGGAGGCAGCAGUGGGGAAUAUUGCACAAGGGGCGCAAGCCUGAGCCAGCCAUGCCACGUGUAUGAAGAAGGCCUUCGGGUUGUAAAGUACUUUCAGCGAGGAGGCUUUACUCGCAGAAGAAGCACCGGCUAACUCCGUGCCAGCAGCCGCGGUAAUAC
rnacentral:rRNA from 1 species